rnacentral:rRNA from 1 species
UACGUAGGGUACAAGCGUUGUCCGGAAUUAUUGGGCGUAAAGAGCUCGUAGGCGGUCUGUCGCGUCGGCUGUGAAAUCCCGAGGCUCAACCUCGGGUCUGCAGUCGAUACGGGCAAACUAGAGUAUUGCAGGGGAGACUGGAAUUCCUGGUGUAGCGGUGAAAUGCGCAGAUAUCGUAAGGAAGACCAGUGGCGAAGGCGGGUCUCUGGACAGUUCCUGACGCUGAGGCGCGGAAAGCCAGGGGAGCAAACGGG